UACAGAGACCCCGAGCGUUAGCCGGAAUUAUUGGGCUUAAAGGGUGCGUAGGCGGGCCAGUAAGCGCUUUGUGAAAUCCCACGGCUCAACCGUGGAACCGCAGGGCGAACUGCUGGUCUUGAGGAAGCUAGAGGCGGGUAGAACGAUAGGUGGAGCGGUGGAAUGCGUAGAGAUCUAUCGGAAUGCCGAAAGUGAAGACAGCCCGCUGGGGCUUUCCUGACGCUAAAGCACGAAAGCGUGGGGAGCAAACCGG
rnacentral:rRNA from 1 species